rnacentral:rRNA from 1 species
GACGAACGCUGGCGGCGUGCUUAACACAUGCAAGUCGAACGGAAAGGCCCUGCUUUUGUGGGGUGCUCGAGUGGCGAACGGGUGAGUAACACGUGAGUAACCUGCCCUUGACUUUGGGAUAACUUCAGGAAACUGGGGCUAAUACCCGGUAUGAGCUCCUGCUGCAUGGUGUGGGUUGGAAAGUUUCGGCGGUUGGGGAUGGUCUCGCGGGUUAUCAGCUUGUUGGUGGGGUAGGGGCUUACCAAGGCUUUGACGGGUAGGCGGCCUGAGAGGGGUAACGGCGACAAUGGGACUGAGGUACGGCGCAGUCGGGAACGGGAGGCAGCGGUGGGGAAUAUGACAGAGUGGGCGGACGCGUGAUGCAGCAACGCCGCGUGCGGGAUGACGGCUUUCGGGUUGUAAACCGCUUUCGCCUGUGACGAAGCGUGAGUGACGGUAAUGGGUCAAGAAGCCCCGGCUAACUACGUG